UACGUAGGUGGCAAGCGUUAUCCGGAUUUACUGGGUGUAAAGGGCGUGUAGGCGGGACUGCAAGUCAGAUGUGAAACCCAUGGGCUCAACCCAUGGCCUGCAUUUGAAACUGUAGUUCUUGAGUGGUGGAGAGGCAGGCGGAAUUCCGUGUGUAGCGGUGAAAUGCGUAGAUAUACGGAGGAACACCAGUGGCGAAGGCGGCCUGCUGGACAUUAACUGACGCUGAGGCGCGAAAGCGUGGGGAGCAAACAGG
rnacentral:rRNA from 1 species